GGGCGCACGUACGUUACGUGUGUACCCGGAAGUCCUUCUCCUUCUCCGGACUUCACUUAUUUUUUAUAGUUAUUAAUCAUGUCUAUGCUUCCCCCGGCCGCAGUGUUCCGGCUUCCUUGGGAAGUGAACUCUUUGAAGGAAGGGGAAUCAGUGCGAACAUUCGGCAGGCUGGUCUGCUAUCAGCCAGAUGAAUCCAGAGCCACCCUCUCUGCCCAGCAUGCUUCCAAAGAGCACCUUGUGUUUGUCCACACCCAGUUUGUUGAACCAUUUAACCCGAUAAUAGGAGCCCAGUACCUGGUUUUGGGUGAAACAGAAAACUCUGAAGGGGUCGGAGUGACGGUUCGUGCCCGUGUGCUGAACUGUGUUGACGGUGUAAACAUUGCACUUCUGCAGAGGGCUGUCGCAGAGCAGCGGAGUUUCUUCGCUGAGAGGGAGAGCAAACGGGUGGAGGCGACGCACCCAGGGGAUGGAACCUGAUGAAGGCCUCCAUGCUGUGACGCUGGCAGGGCUACACUACCUUUCAUUAACUUUUAUUCUAGAUAUUAUCUAUUGCUGCAUGUUUGGAAAAAUAAAUUAGUUCUCCAGAAGAUUCAGCAGUCCCGUCUAUUGUUAGAUGUUUAUUUGAUGGUUUCUGAUACUUUUUAACAAUAUUCAGCUUUAUGCAACCUUAUUGUUUUGUAUUUUUCAAAGCUUAUUUAAAAGUAACAGAUUUACCUGUUUGGUGAAUGAGAACAGAUGUGGAAUAUUUUUUUAUUCUAUUUGUUAUUUCAAUAAAGAACAUAUUUUUAUAGCUGUGAAUUACUGCUGUGUGUAAAAAUAAAAAAAAAUCCCUGGAAAAUCUGAUC